CUUGCCCAGUUCUUAGAAACAGAGAUUUAGGCCUAGUCUCCUUAACUGCCAAUGUGAAGCCUGUCAUGGAAUCAGCCUAGCUUCCAUAGGCCUUCUCAGUACCUAUCAGAGCGAUUUGGAAUUUCAUGGUUCCAGGAAGUAGCUAAGUAAGUUCUGUAUUCAGCUCUUGUUCUAACUGGCAUAGAGUCCAAAGUGAGCAGGAGUAUUAAUCAAGGAGGAAGAGCCCGUGUAAAUGUGGAAAAACUCCAGGAUUGUGGCUUGGAGGUCACAAAAGUAAGUUGGAACUUCCAGGAACCUCUGCCUGAUGCUUCCAACUUCAAACACACCACCGACUUGCAGGGAACGCUGGCACAGUUGAUUAUUUUCUAAUGGACAUCUACCCAGGCUGAACCCCAGAAUAAUCUUUACUCCAUGGAGUGUGUAUGUGUGUAAAGGGUCCCAGAGGCAAGAUGGAGCCUACGACAACUUCCUGAGAACGAAGUUUUGAAAGCACAUACUUGCACUUCCACGAAAAUUUGUCACCAACACAGAGCCUUUGUCAGGCUUUCAUGAUCUCGAGGAGAGACAAAUUACUGACUCCGAAGAGCUUCGCCAGCAGAAAGAUGGCACUCACUCACUGGCCUUCACCGAUGGGUUUCUAGUCUGUUCUGGGACGUGAAGAGCAGAAUUGAGACGCCUUCAGCACAUCCAUCUGCCCUGACAUUUGGAUGGGAGUUGGCUCUUGCUGUGACAGGAGCGAAACUGUAUUUUGAAACACCUGUUCUUCAAAUUCCAUGGCUAUGUAGGAUUCCCUAGAGGCUGAGAUAAUAAAAAAUGAUCAAACAAAAUCCUCUUUUUUGGGGGGGACAGGGUCUCCUUCUGUAGUCCAGUCUGCCCCGUGUGUGAGUCAGUACUUUCAGACUGUCCUUGAACUCAUGACAAUCCAGAACCAUCAAUCAGUCAAGCUCCUGGAUGCCUUGGUUACCUCACCAGACUCAAGAACACAGCUUUGAUGACUAGCCACAAGCCCCAACUCUUCAGAUAAUUUAUUGGGAGUUUUUGCACUGAUUCCUGGAGACACUAAACAUGAACUCUGCCCAUUUG
rnacentral:lncRNA from 1 species